GUGGGGAAUCUUCCGCAAUGGACGAAAGUCUGACGGAGCAACGCCGCGUGAGUGAUGAAGGUCUUCGGAUUGUAAAGCUCUGUUAAUCGGGACGAAAGAGCCUAGUGUGAAUAAUGCUAGGAAGUGACGGUACCGGAAUAGAAAGCCACGGCUAACUACGUGCCAGCAGCCGCGGUAAUACGUAGGUGGCAAGCGUUGUCCGGAAUUAUUGGGCGUAAAGCGCGCGCAGGCGGAUCUGCCAGUCUGUCUUAAAAGUUCGGGGCUUAACCCCGUGAUGGGAUGGAAACUACAGAUCUAGAGUAUCGGAGAGGAAAGUGGAAUUCCUAGUGUAGCGGUGAAAUGCGUAGAUAUUAGGAAGAACACCAGUGGCGAAGGCGACUUUCUGGACUGUAACUGACGUUGAGGCUCGAAAGCGUGGGGAGCAAACAGGAUUAGAAACCCUUGUAGUCC
rnacentral:rRNA from 1 species